ACAUUAGGCUACGCAGCUCGCCUGUUCCUAGGUGGUUUCAGUCCUCUACUGUUCAAAGUCUGUCAAGAACCUCUUGUUCAUAAGUUCUCUCCCUUUAUAUAGAAGAGAAGUUCUCUUCUUUUAUGUGGAAGUGGUGUUGCUGAGUGAAAGGGCAUGAACAAUUGAGAUCUGAACCCACACAUCAAACUGUAGAGCCUCAUUUUGAGGUAGAAUUUCUUCUUUUCAUGAUGUUACCUGGUAAGGGGCAUGUCCCCAGCUUUUGGGAGGCGCAGACUGCAUGGGAACUGCUGAAAGGUCUAUGGGGACCCAUUGGGCGUACUAGGCCAGUGACGGCACGUAUGGGCCCCAAGGCCUUAAGGUGAGUGACAGCAAGUGGAAGGAGGGUGCAGAAUGUGGCACUGGGCUGGAAUGACUUAGUGGAGUGGGGUGAACAAUCUGCUCAUUCAGAACUGGCUUUGGGAUUGUGACAGGUCCUGAACAGCUUGGAGUACUAAGAAGAGCGCUGGACAUGAACUGGAAUAUGUGGGUUCAAAUCCCACCUUUUCACUGCCCAGCUCUGUGACCCUGAGCAAGUGACUCAACCUCUGUGAGCCCCGUGUCCUCUCUGUAAAAUGGAGGUAUGAAUGCCUGUGAGAACAGGAUAUGGGGAGGGUUCCUGUAUAACACUUCGCCCUGCCCAUCUGAAUAAAAGGCUGCAUUCACCCUUCCUAAGGAAGACCACUUUCCGAUGUUCCAGUCUGAAGACAAGGAAUGCAAAGCUCACGGAUGCCGAGGAAUUUAUCCAAGAUCACUGUGAUGGGAUGGGAACUUUGGUUUUCAGCCUUUAAAUACAUUGGUGCAGAAGUCCAAGAAAGAUGCUUGGAAAGACCUAGUGAGAUGAAGAUCUCACUAUGUUGCCUGGGCUGGUCUUGAAUUCCUGAGCUCAAGUGAUCCUCCAACCUUGGCCUCCCAAAGUGAUGGAAUUACAGGCACACCUCUGAUGAUUGCUGCAUGUAUUCUGCCCAGGGUUUUUGGCUGUGAUCACUGGGAGAGAUAGAAGGGACUGUAUUUGCUCCAUCUUACCCAGCUCUGCAAACCUGCUGGAGAGUUUAAUUGGCAUAUGACUUCUAUCCUCAAAGUCACAAGAUGGCUGCUGGAGUUCCAGUCAGGAUGUCUGUACAGAACAUCUGUCCAGUCCCUGGGAUGGUGAGGCUAUAACCACAAAGGAAUAAGAGAAGACGACUAGUUUUGUAAUGGGUGGGACAAGGCUGUUGGCUUCCCUGGGUUACUUUUCAGCAUGCUGGGAGCUGGAAGGAUAGAAUUUCACGAGCCAUUGCAGCCAGCUGCCGAGCACCUGGGGCAACGUUUGCAGCAACCCAGGGACCACCCUCUAACACCAAGUGCCCCCCACGUUGCUGAGGAAGGUCCAGUUGUCUGAGGUUUACUUUGGACACAUUUUUAAUCAUCGUGGUUGGCACAGACAGGAAGGCUGAGCCAGAACGAAAUAUCUGGGAGCCACAGAUAUUCCAGCUGGGGUGAAACUUUCUGGAGUGACCUCCGCCAAAGACUACUGGUGGCAGCUGCAAUGACCCACACUCUGCUCCUAAAGCAGUACCUUAGGAGAGAGAAGAUUAAGAGAUUCCAUGCCCUGUGUCUCUUUCUGGGUCACUCAAAGGGAUGUGAGGUGUUCUUUCAAGUUACAGCAACUGAAUGCAUAAAAAUUGCUCAAGGGGAAGCAUCUUCUUAAUGCGUUUUUGUCCACUCUCCCUUUAGCCCUCAGCAGACAGAAAAAUCCCUUUUAAAUGUAUUUCUAAACUUAUGUUGUAAGGAGGCAAAUGAGAAGCAAAGCUGAAAUUCCAGAGGGAACAGAACACAAAAGCGCUUGUGCACGUGUACCCUCACCUUGCACACCUACACCCCAGAGGCCAGCCUGGCCCAAUGGGCUCUGUUUAUUCAGUGUUGUCUUUUCCUGAUAAUUCUGCUGAUGACAGGGAAGCAACCCUUCUUCUUCUUCAGUCUGCAAUAUUUCACCCUCCAAUUACUCUUUCAAAUUUUGUUUUCAAGUCUCUGCCCAAAUGCUGGACUUAGGGAGCCCAAGGCUCUCAUUUUUGUAUUUCUCUUAUGACACUUGACAUUGGCUGCCUUGUCCCACUGCCUACGCGAGCUCUUUUGAAGACAAGGACUCUUAUUGGAGCUGAGUCCUGACUCCCCACUCAGUGUCAGGCAUGUGGAGGCAAAGUGCUUCCUCUGUGGCUCUGGGUAAGAGCUCUGACCAUGCUGGGCUCCAGCAGGUUGGCCCUGCAGCUGGUUUGUGUGUAAGCUGAUGGCUGAUUGGGCACCGUCAAUGUGCAAGCCACAUUUCUAAUCAACUUCUAUAGAAAACACUGGAGACAGAAGGGCAUAAUAGCUAUAAUAUAUCUUGGUCUUUUGACGAGAAGGAAUCGCCAAUACGUGGGGUGAGAAUUUUUCCUUCAUGACGAAUGACGGCAACCUCUUCUGAGUGCCGUCUCUGUGCCAAGUAUGGUGUUCAGUGCUUUCAAGAAUGUUCUCUGGCUGGGUGUGGUGGCUCAUGCCUGUAA